rnacentral:rRNA from 1 species
GACGAACGCUGGCGGCGUGCUCAACACAUGCAAGUCGAACGAUGAUGCAGGAGCUUGCUCCAGUUGAUUAGUGGCGAACGGGUGAGUAACACGUGAGCAAUCUGCCCUUGACUCUGGGAUAACUGCGGGAAACUGUAGCUAAUACCGGAUACCUUCACCGGAAGGCAUCUUCUGGUGAUGAAAGAAUUUCGGUCAGGGAUGAGCUCGCGGCCUAUCAGCUUGUUGGUGAGGUAACGGCUCACCAAGGCGACGACGGGUUACCGGCCUGAGAGGGUGACCGGUCACACGGAGACUGAGACACGGCCCAGACUCCUACGGGAGGCAGCAGUGGGGAAUAUUGCACAAUGGGCGCAAGCCUGAUGCAGCAACGCCGCGUGAGGGAUGAAGGCCUUCGGGUUGUAAACCUCUUUUAGCAGGGAAGAAGCGAAAGUGACGGUACCUGCAGAAAAAGCACCGGCUAACUACGUGCCAGCCGCCGCCGUAA